rnacentral:rRNA from 1 species
UUUCAUAAAAAGCUCUUGCGUUGAGAGAGGGAGGUGUGUAUUAUAUGUCUUCACUGGCUGACGGGUGAUGUUAGCGGUAGAGAGGGGCUUGAUGCCUGGAGAUAUUUAAGAGAUAUAUUAAAUACAAACACUUUGUUGAAGAAUUUGAGUUUAGUGAUUGAGUCAGAGAAUUAGAUUAAACUGAAGAGUUUGAUCCUGGCUCAGAUUGAACGCUGGUGGUAUGCUUAACACAUGCAAGUCGAACGGUAGCAGGUCUUCGGAUGCUGACGAGUGGCGGACGGGUGAGUAACGCGUAGGAAUUUACCCAUUUGAGGGGGAUACCAGUUGGAAACGACUGUUAAUACCGCAUAAUAUCUGAGGAUUAAAGGUGGCAACUUGUUGCUGCCGCGAAUGGAUGAGCCUGCGUUGGAUUAGCUAGUUGGUAGGGUAAGGGCCUACCAAGGCGACGAUCCAUAGCUGAUUUGAGAGGAUGAUCAGCCACAUUGGGACUGAGACACGGCCCAAACUCCUACGGGAGGCAGCAGUGGGGAAUAUUGGACAAUGGAGGAAACUCUGAUCCAGCAAUACCAUGUGUGUGAAGAAGGCCUUAGGGUUGUAAAGCACUUUAGUUAGGGAGGAAGGUCUAUUAGUUAAUAGCUAAUGGAAUUGACGUUACCUAAAGAAUAAGCACCGGCUAACUCCGUGCCAGCAGCCGCGGUAAUACGGGGGGUGCAAGCGUUAAUCGGAAUUACUGGGCGUAAAGGGUCUGUAGGUGGUUUGAUAAGUCAGAUGUGAAAGCCCAGGGCUCAACCUUGGAACUGCAUUUGAUACUGUCAAACUAGAGUAUGGUAGAGGAAUGGGGAAUUUCUGGUGUAGCGGUGAAAUGCGUAGAGAUCAGAAGGAACACCGAUGGCGAAGGCAACAUUCUGGACUAAUACUGACACUGAGGGACGAAAGCGUGGGGAUCAAACAGGAUUAGAUACCCUGGUAGUCCACGCUGUAAACGAUGAGUACUAGCUGUUGGGUUCGGUGUAAAGGGCCUAGUGGCGUAGCUAACGCGAUAAGUACUCCGCCUGGGGACUACGGCCGCAAGGCUAAAACUCAAAGGAAUUGACGGGGACCCGCACAAGCGGUGGAGCAUGUGGUUUAAUUCGAUGCAACGCGAAGAACCUUACCUGGUCUUGACAUCCACAGAACUUUUCAGAGAUGAAUUGGUGCCUUCGGGAACUGUGUGACAGGUGCUGCACGGCUGUCGUCAGCUCGUGUUGUGAAAUGUUGGGUUAAGUCCCGCAACGAGCGCAACCCCUAUUGAUAGUUACCAUCAUUAAGUUGGGUACUCUAUUGAGACUGCCGCUGACAAGGCGGAGGAAGGUGGGGACGACGUCAAGUCAUCAUGGCCCUUACGACCAG